rnacentral:misc_RNA from 1 species
GAAAUGCGAUAAGUAAUGUGAAUUGCAGAAUUCCGUGAAUCAUCGAAUCUUUGAACGCACAUUGCGCCCUCUGGCAUUCCGGGGGGCAUGCCUGUCCGAGCGUCAUUGCUGCCCUUCAAGCCCGGCUUGUGUGUUGGGUCGUCGUCCCCUCCGGGGGACGGGCCCGAAAGGCAGCGGCGGCACCGCGUCCGGUCCUCGAGCGUAUGGGGCUUUGUCACCCGCUCGAUAAGGACCGGCCGGGCGCCAGCCGGCGUCUCCAACCUUUUUUUCUCAGGUUGACCUCGGAUCAGGUAGGGAUACCCGCUGAACUUAAGC